UUUUUCUCGAAGGAUCAGAAAAAAAUGGGUCCGGAUCUCCUGCGGGAAUGACUCAGAAGAUCGAAAACCAAAAAUAAUGGUAUUUGCUAGCAACAACAUAAUGGAAUAUGACCUCAAAAUAACAGGGGACAAGGUCGGCUAGUGAGACGAUGGGGGAUAAGCUUCAUCGUCGAGAGGGAAACAGCCCAGAUCACCAGCUAAGGCCCCUAAAUGAUCGCUCGGUGAUAAAGGAGGUAGGGGUGCAGAGACAACCAGGAGGUUUGCCUAGAAGCAGCCACCCUUGGAAGAGUGUGUAAUAGCUCACUGAUCGAGCGCUCUUGCGCCGAAGAUGAACGGGGCUAAGCGAUCUGCCGAAGCUGUGGGGUGUAAAAAUACAUCGGUAGGGGAGCGUUCCGCCUUAGAGAGAAGCCUCCACGCGAGCGGUGGUGGACGAAGGGGAAGCG
rfam:Nicotiana attenuata strain TT chromosome 8, whole genome shotgun sequence.